UACACACUUUUAAACAGUCUUCAUGUAUCUAUAGCACUUGCAAUCAAUCAAAUUCAUUGUAUUCUAACAUAUUCUAACCCCAAACAACACUAGAUAAGUCAUUUAGUGGUUCAACGCAAUGUUUCCUAGUUCUUAGCCCAUUUGGGACCUAAUUUCAACAAGUCUUUCUCCACACUUUUAAACGCUCUUCAUGCACCUCUAGCACUUGUAAUUAAUCAAAUAUAAUUUAUUCUAACAUAUUCUAACCCCUAACAACAUUAGACAAGCAAUUUCAUUCUUCAAAGCAAUGGUUGUGGGUUGUUGUCCCAUUUUGGAGCAAAUUUCAGCAAGUCUUCCUAGACACUUUUAAACACUCUUUAUCUAUCUCUAUUACUUGUAAUCAAUCAACGUAAUUGUAUUCUAACAAAUUAUAACCAAAAACAACACUAAAUAAGUCAUUUAGUGGUUCAACACGAUGUUUCCGAGUUUUUAGCUCAUUGGGACCUAAUUUCAACAAGUCUUUCUCCACACUUCUAAACACUCUUCAUGCACCUCUAGC
rnacentral:lncRNA from 1 species